rnacentral:lncRNA from 1 species
CUAUUUGGCCGGGUCGCGACGCCGCCGACAGAUCGCCGAACGGACAGGGUUUUCCCUGUACUGCGGACAGAGUCUCCCCUGUACGUUCAAGGCAUAGCAAUCAAUACAAUGUGCGAAGUUCCAACCAGGAACACAUUUCAAUCAAGGAUUGCAUAAUGGAAGGUAUCAAACAACAUAAACACAUCCUAUAUUAUUACAUUCAUUCAUAUUCAUACAUUUUUACAUCCCAAAUACUUAUUACAUUUAACUUCCAAAUACAAUCCGAUUUAAUAUAAUUAUUACAACUUGAUUCUUUCAUUCUUUACAUCCCUAAGUAAGGCCGACUUAGGGUACCACUAUCUCUGGUCUCGGUGGUAGGGCGCUAACUAUGGAGCUACGCCCUCGCCUCGCGCCGCCGCGCCGCUCACGUGCGAACCUGUAAAAACCCCAAAACCACGUGGGGUGAGAACCAACUCCAUGGUUCCCAGUGGGUACGGCCACCCAAGGGAAAAGCUCGACCAAUAGGUCCAAGGGAGGCAACUGCAAGUUAGUUCAAUAAACAGAUAGAUAUAUAUCUUUAUUAUGCAACUAAUAAAACCAUGCAUUGCCUCACGAAUGCAAUAAUGCAAUGCUAUAUGCAAAUCAUGCAAUAAUGCAACUAUGCAACCAACUAGUAGUUCAUUCGACACUACUUUCAAUUCUGCUAACCAUAGCUCAUCCAUUCGAUAUCUAAGGUUUCCUCUAUCUUAGAUUCUUGUCAAUCACCGUUUUAAUCAUAAAGUUUCAUCUACCUUUACAAGGCUAACCACCCGACUCGGUCUUGAGUCAAUCGUCUGCGGAGUACCGCACUAGAACCAGGCUCGAGGCGAUGGACGUCUCACAUACACCUCAGCCCUAGAUCCUCUCGACUAGGAUACCAAAUCCAUAACUCAUAAUGCAUACUUGUUGUACACUCAUUUGGCUAUGACCCAAUCUUACCGGUUAACCAUGUUAACCCCAAUAACUCACAACCAAAUCCCUUAAUAACGGGGGACUCGAACCUCCCUAGGGACCGUCAACUGGUGGGACUUUACCACGCCCAGUGGUGACCAACUCCGGAGCGCACCGCCCGAGGGGGAGCUACCUCCCUCAAGCCAAGACUUAUCGUGAGUAUCGAUCCAAUCCUCAACUUGAGGAUUCAUAGCCACUCGUCACAAUGCCAAUGUCAUGAUAGGUCUCUACCUAUUUAAUCAUGCCACUCUCUAUGUCAACUUGGACCAAUGUCAAUAUGGUUAAACUAUGUUUAACAAUCACUUUCUUGAUGCCAAUCAUGUCUCUAUUGUCAUUGUCACCCUUGUUUACUAAUGUUCAAGUCCAACUCUCACAUUUACACAAUAAUAGGGUCCUAACAUACAUGAAUGACACCAGAAUAUAUAUGAUCAAUCACCACAAGUGUUUGCUAGGUUCAAGAUGCUAGGUUUAAUGCCACUCGAUCUAAUAUAUAUAUAGAUUGUCCACUAUGUUCCACAACAUGGCAAUAUGUCAUCAAGUAUGUUUUUCUAUUUAACAUAAUCCACAAUAUGUAAAUUCAUAAUAUAUCAUCAUGCACAUAUACCACUAGCAUCACAUGAUUUGUCAACAUACAUAUAGUCAUUAUCCAAAAUAGUCCAUACUUAGCAUCUCAUGCAUUCUUUUAGCACUUAAUUCAUUAUGCAUUACAUUUAGCAUAUUCUACAACAUGUCAUCAUACAUUCCUUUUAUGAUGUUCUUAUAAUGCUAACAUUCAUACGCCCUUUAUAUUAUGCAUUCAAAGCAUUAAUCAUAUGCAUUUAUCUAGCAUUUCUAUAGUAUGUUAACAUGCAUUCUUUUCACAUUCUUAUAUUAUGUCAAUAUGCAUCAAUAUGAAAUCUCAUUUCUUAGACAUAAAGGGCGACCUAGUCGCUUCGGUAAGCACAACCCACCUCAUUUCGCAUUCCGAUUGCUUGUCGACACUUGCAAUCGGCCUCCCGCGGCACCCGGCACCCGGUUUGGCCCGAUCUCUCACGCGACCACCCGAACGGCCUCCAAUUCACGAUCCGAAAAUUAAAGGUCUUCGGUUAUGUGCCACGAUGCUUCAAAUCCAUUUUCAUGAAUUUACGAUAUCGCCUCGGCCCUCCCGGCGGACCCGAAGCCUAAACGUCCAUUUCUUUAAUAACUUUGUAACGGCUCGUCGGAUUGCCGAACCGUCUUCGCCAACGCGUUCGUUUACCUAGCAAUUUGGUUUACGGAGGGUCAAAUGAGAUCAAACCCUCAUAUUUUAAAAAACCCCAUUUUCUAAGCCUAAUAUGAAUUAAUCUCCAAAUAAUCCAAAUUAAAUAGAGCAAACAUGUUUAGAAUGCUCAUUAGAGGCUAUUAGAACACUUAAAACUAAGGAUUAAGCCAAAUCCUAAAAGCUUACCUCAAUGUGAACGCCGCGACGACAACACACCGCUCCAACGGGCGCACGAAAGCUCAAUCCGUCGCCUCCAACGCGUUCGCAAGCAUAUUCUCCACCAACCCCGCGAAUUUGAGCGAGAGAUAUAGAGAAAUGAGAGAGAUCUCUAGAGAGAGAAAGGAGAGUUUCUCUCCUCUCUCCAUGUGUGCGUGAGGUGUGUGUGGGUGUGCACGGCUGAAGGAGGAAGAAGAAGCAUCAUGCUUCUAUUUAAUUACACCCCAACACUAUUCACCUCCAGGCAGCUUAAAAUCUGAUAACUUUCGCCGGAGCUCCCUGAAUGUCCGUUUGAGCUCAAACUUGACAGUCAUGUUCGGUUUUACUUAACUUAACAAGCUGACGAUCACUGGUUCAGUUUCGACCCCGUUUGGUCACUGAAAACUGUACCGAACUGCAAUCUUUAUCAGAUAGCUUUCGGAUUUUAUUUCUCACUCUAUGGGUGUCAGAAAAAUAUGAAACCUUAAAUCUAGCCUCAUAAAAAUAUUUCUGACAUCUCCGCCAAUUUUCAUAAUUUUCUGAGACUGUGCAUUUUCUGCUUAUUUUUCUGUCCCGUCUCCAACAGAAAAUUCUAGAUCUUCUGUUUUAAUUCCGAUUUCAGCACAAGUCACCUCUGACUUAUGUUUUACCUCUAUAAAUCUAAUAAAAAUAGUUUCUCACACUAUUUUUAUUUAUUAUUAUUUUUAUACCAAAAUCUGGUAUAUUACAUUCUCCACCCCUUAAAAAGAAUUUCGUCCGCGAAAUUCAAAACACACCUCAAUUCAGCUCCUCGAGCAAUUGAGGGCACCAAUGCACUUUUUCACUUCGGAAUGGCUUUACACUCCUUGGAACUAUCCAAGAGAACUAUCACGGAGGGUACAAUACCAAACUCAUACAACUUUGUAAGGUGCAUCCCACAAAGUGCAUUACGGUAUCCACCAUUCUUGGUGGAAGCGCAAGUCGAAAUUCAACGACUACACACGCUCCAACCCCACUUGUCAUUUGGCAUGCAAGAACUCUUCUUUGCAUGUACUCUCCCUUCAGGGAAUACAUUCCGAUUCUAUCUCCAACAGUGCUUAAAAGCAACAUCACUGAUGCAUCGCUUCCGCGCGAGUGCUCUAAUUCCGCACUGAUCUUUAGCUCUAACAUGAGAUGGCCCACCUCGGCGCCUCCCAAUUCCAAUCCUCAAAUUCCACGUGGCUUGCUACUAGCUCAAGGUCUCACAAGGAGCACUUCAUCUUCUAAUACCAUAUGCCACGGUCAACAUUGAACUAAUUUCGCAACGAGCUCACACGAACGCUUCAUUCGUGGAUUCGAGUUAGACUCCUCGAUAAGGCUAUCCGCCAAACCGCUCUCUUCGGUCUCCACAGGUGGACCAAAGGCCACCAAUCCUACGUAGGCCUACCGCCUAACCUUUCUCAAUACGCAGCGUCUCUCGCUCGCAAUGCAGACCCAAUCAUCAUUGGGGCGAAAUUCUCACUUGGGAAUUCGCACACACUCCAACCAGGAGCAACUAAGAUCCCAAACCGUUACAGAUUCCCGGGUUGGGUCACACUCGCACUCUCAGUAUACUAUCAAUCGCACUACAUGCUCUAUAGCACAAUACGUACCACUAUCGGCUCCUAUGCACCUAGUGCGAGCCACCAGCCCCACGAGUGAUCCGUGGCACGCUUCACACCUAGCAAUGCUCAGGUGCUACUGCCAACACACUCAUCCGGCUAAACUAAAUCCGCACUCCACGAGUAACUAUACUCGUGUAUCGCACGCCUCUAAAGCGCUCCACACUAUGUCCAGCAUUAGGCAACUCUUGCCUAUGCACACCGGCCACACGAGCAUGGCUCACCUACCUCGAUUCGAGGUACUACUAGGCAAAAGCGCCAGUAGUUGGCAACAAACCGUUCCAUCGGAGCAACAUCCGGAAUACUCGAACCAUUCGAGUGUCCACAAGUGUCACGUCACAACUCUCGCAAUCAGCUAUACAUUGCUCUGCGAGUUAGUCCGUCACUCCCAUCUCUACUGUGAAUCUCAUCAUUAGACCAUCACUAGCAACUCGCUAGUGCCAUCCAGUUCUCUACCUGCACCGGCAGGUGCAACGCUUUCACCACAUAAGCGUGCCCGGGUAUUUACAUUUAUCCGCUCACUUGGACCCUACUAUGCUACUACAUAAAUAGUAGUAAUUAAUUACAUGCUCAAUGCAUGCAAUGCACCAACUUUACAUUAUGCAGAAACACAUAACUGCAUUAAUGGCUCAUACCUGCCAUGACGUUGUCAGCAGCAGGUUCCAUAUCCCGGACAUAGUUCACGAUAGGGAGAAUUCCCGUUCGUACUCUCUAACUGAGCGGUCUCCUUGCCGCAGCUUCCUGAACUUGUCCUGAAGCUUUCUCUUUUCACUGUCGGGGGAAGUAAGUAGAAGAUACCAAUCCCCAAAACUCAUCCCAUGCCAUGGAGGAAUACUAGGCGAUCGGUUCCGCCGAAUGCCUUUCCACCACGCCUUAGCCGACUGUUUCAAACAAUACACGGCUAGGGGUACCCUGUCCCGCUCCAAGGUAGACAGCUCCUCGAAGAGCGUUUCCACGGAGUCAAUCCACGUAUCCACAAUCCACGAAUCGACAUUCUCUCCAUCGAAGAUAGGUGGAUCAAACUUUAUGAAGGUCAUGAGGGCUGCCAAAGCCCGCUCUUUCUCCUUCUUUUCCUUUCCUUUCUUCCUCCUCUUCUUGUCUUCUAGAGAGAGAAAGAGAGAUAUGAGAGGGUGUGUGGGUGAGAAAUGAGAGAAAAGAGCUCUCAUACUCCUCACAUAGCCCCACAUGUUGCAUAAGUGCAAACAAGCCUCUCAACUUUUACUCUUUUACACUGCCCUGACUGGGCCAUUUUCAGGUUCGGGGACCGGUCUCCCCGACGAGGGACCGGUCUCCGAGAGCUCUCCCCGCGGUCAGCAGGGCUCACGCACGAUGCAUCCGGUCUCCCCCGAUGGGACCGGUCUCUUCGGGACCGGUCUCUCCCUGCAGGGACCGGUUCCCGAGAGCUGUCCACCGGGGACUUAGCCGAUUUUUCCUCCCUUUCGCUGUCUGCGCGUGCGGGGACCGGUCUCUCCCACCAGGGACCGGUCCCCGAGAGCAGAAAACCUGCAGUUUGCAGAUUUUGAUUCCCAAAGCUCUCGAAGAUCCCCAGCAACGCACUUUUGCAUUAUUUGACGCCUUCGGCCUUUCCGAAGUGUACCAACCUCGCUCUUUGGUCAAUUUGACCAAGGUUCGAUGUUCGCUUACCGAAGUUUCGGUAUAUUACACCUACAAUUUUUUUUCGGAGUCUCUUAAUUCGCUCCUCCUGGUGUAUAGCAGCCUCCUGCUGCCGCUGCACCACAUCUGCUCGUUGCCUCACCACACCCACAAGUGUGGCCAACCGUUCGCGAAGUUCCAAAUCUCCGCUCGCCUUGGAUUGCUCUGGGACAUCACUUGUCCCACCCCGCGUCGAUCUAAACGAAGAUCGCCUACGCGGUGCCAUCGUUACCUAGAACAUAACAACUCAACUAACUCUCAACCUUCUAGGUCGAGUACGAGACAACUGACAUCAACUCAAAUCGGGCGAAAGUCAUACAAGGGCAUCUAUUCUCAUCACUCGGUUUCAUGUUGUACGCGUCCAACAUGAACACUCUCGGUUGAGAAUAGACAACACCUUGGAUCUACCUCUAAUCUCCUUUUUAGAGGUUUACAACACAACCCAAUCCCUUAACCUUUCGCCAAAAGUCACAAGUCCUCGUCUCUCACGAGCCUUAAUCUCCUAUGGUUUACUAUCCUAGGGUCUCCUAGGUUCAUCUAAACCACUUUCCCAUUCUCUACUUUAUGCUCUGAUACCAUCUUACCUGUCACGCCCCGAGCCCGCCUCUUUGGUCGGAUUCGGGCACGCCAACAGACCGCCGAACGGACAGGGUUUCCCCUGCACGCGGACAGAGUCUCCCCUGUACGUUCAAGGCGUCGCAAUCAAUACAAUUACAAGAGGUUCCAAACAGGAACAAUUUUCAACAACGAUUGCAUAAGGAAGGUAUCAAACAACAUAACACAUCCUAUGUUAUUACAAUCAUUCAUCUCAUCAUUUUACAUCGCAUUUUUCAUUACAUUGAUUCUCAACUUCCAAAUAUACAAUCGAUUUCUAAACAUAAUAUUACAACAUCGAUUCUUUUCUUUUCUUUUCUUAUACCCCUAAGAAGCCGACUCAGGGUGCUGCUAUCUGGUCUCUGUGGUAGGGCGCUAACUACGGAGCUACGCCCUUUCCUCGCGCCGCCGCGCCGCUCGCGUGUGAACCUGUACCCCCAAAAACAACAACACGGGGGUGAGACUAUUGUCCAUAGUCGUCAGUGGGUACAGCCACCCAAGUGAAAAGCUCAACCCACCAGGUCCAAAGGAGGCACUGCAACAUGUUAGUCCAACAGAUAUAUAUAUAUAUAACAUCAUGCAAUACAUGUUCAUGCCUCACAAAUAUGCAAAUUAUGCAACUCUUAGUCAUUCUUUACCAUUAGCCUUUCUUUAGAAUAUGCAAUUCUUUAUCAUUAGCCAUUCUUUAUUCUUUAAUCUUUAUUCUUUAUUCUUUAUUCUUUAUGCUUUAUUCUUUAUGCUUUAUUCUUUGUUCUUUAUCCUUUACUAAGGGCACUCGCGCCUUAGGCUCAUCAUACACAUUUGCCAUUCUUUAUAACAUUAACAAGUCUUUCUCAAUUAUCACUCUUUCCUAAGGUUACAUUUACCUUAGCCAACUAUGCCACUCGACUCGGUCUUGAGUCAAUUCAUAAUGAAUACAAGAUCCACUUUCCAAUUCAUGAUUCCUUUUUGUUCUUUGUUCUUUAAUCUCACGGCUAACCCGGGGGUUUCGCCACAUUAACUUGCUUCACAUUAAGUCCAUCAUCGCAGGAACUCACCAGCUAGGACCGUCCUUACGGGUCUACUCCAACCCGGAUGCCAAACUCCGGAGCGCAUCGCCCGAGGGGGAGCGACCGCCCUCGAGCACGGAACUCAUAGCAAGUAUGAUCAAUCCUUAACUCUAAGGAUAUGUAGUUGGAUCAUGGUUUUACACUAACUCUAGUGUUCUUUACAUCACAUUAGUUGCUAACUCUAGCAAUCAUUAUUCUUUAUACCACAAUUAUCAAUUACUUUAGUAAUUAUCAUUCUUGAUACCACACUUGUUCUUUUAUUGCCACACACUAACUCUAGUGUUCUUUAUGUCACAUUGGUUGCUAACUUUAGCCAUUAUCAUUGUUCUUUACACUUUGCUUGUUCUUUAUGCCACAUUACUU